GCUGGGCAUGGUAGUGUGUGUCAGUAGUCCCAGCUACCUGGAGGCUGAGGCAGGUGGAUCACUUGAGCCCAAGAGUUCUGGACUGCAGUGGGCUAUGAUGGUGCCACUGCACUCCAGCAUGGGUGACAGAGCGAGAUCCUGUCUCAA
rnacentral:SRP_RNA from 1 species